UGGGGAAUAUUGCACAAUGGGGGGAACCCUGAUGCAGCCAUGCCGCGUGAAUGAAGAAGGCCUUCGGGUUGUAAAGUUCUUUCGGUGACGAGGAAGGUUGGUAGGUUAAUAGCCUAUCAAAUUGACGUUAAUCACAGAAGAAGCACCGGCUAACUCCGUGCCNCCAGCCGCGGUAAUACGGGGGGUGGAAGNGUUAAUCGGAAUAACUGGGCGUAAAGGGCACGCAGGCGGUGACUUAAGUGAGAUGUGAAAGCCCCGAGCUUAACUUGGGAAUUGCAUUUCAUACUGGGUCGCUAGAGUACUUUAGGGAGGGGUAGAAUUCCACGUGUAGCGGUGAAAUGCGUAGAGAUGUGGAGGAAUACCGAAGGCGAAGGCAGCCCCUUGGGAAUGUACUGACGCUCAUGUGUGCGAAAGCGUGGGGAGCAAACAGGAUUAGAUACCCUGGUAGUCCACGCUGUAAACGAUGUCGAUUUGGGGAUUGGGCUUUGAGCUUGGUGCCCGUAGCUAACGUGAUAAAUCGACCGCCUGGGGAGUACGGCCGCAAGGUUA
rnacentral:rRNA from 1 species